rnacentral:lncRNA from 1 species
CACCCGAUUGGGAGGGGUUGCCUCUCCCUGUGUCCACACAUAUGCCUUGAGUUGCUCUUCAGUGAAUAUCACUUUUCCUUUCAUGUUUUUUCUACAUGCUAUUAUCUGUAUGAAAUGAAGACCAAGAAAGGAUGGGAAGAAGGAGAAGAAAAAUUUUGAUUUAUCUCAGAAACUAUACUCCGAAGUGAGAGUCCUGGUUGCAGCAUCCUUCACCGAAGCACGAAGCAGAAUCAAGCUGUUGCCAUGAAGCUUGUUUCAAGAGCUCAGAAAUACUCCAGGGACUCCUUUACUACUGCUUUUCAAAGAGGCCUUUUUUUCUCUCUUCUCCUUUUCCUGCAAAGAGGGUUAUAUCCAGUGCUCAAGGACAUGGGAUUAUCAGCCUAAGGCAUGAGUACAUGCUGUGGAAACAGAAAUAUGUAUGAAGGGAUGUAUGAAACCACAGAAUAAAUGGAAUCCACAUUCUUGAAGUAGCUACAACUCUACUUGAGGUCCCAAGGCACGUAGAUAGUACCUAUACAUCUCAUCAGGAACAUGGAUGGUUCUCUGCUAUCAGCUGAAGUGCUGUGACCACAAAACUGAAAAUUCCCAUUCUGUGUCCUUGCCAAUAAAGAAUGUCCAUCAGAGCACGCCCAGUAUCCUAGCUCCUUAUCCAGACUGUGCUUCUCAAUGUGACAAGGAAGACUGCAACCCUAUUUGCUUCUGAUAACCUUCCUAUGACUAAGGUAAGACAGC